UCCGUAGGUGAACCUGCGGAAGGAUCAUUAUCGAGUUUUGACCGGGUUGUAGCUGGCCUUCCGAGGCAUGUGCACGCCCUGCUCAUCCACUCUACACCUGUGCACUUACUGUGGGCUUCAGAUUGCGAGGCACGCUCUUUACCGGGCUUGCGGAGCAUAUCUGUGCCUGCGUUUAUCACAAACUCUAUAAAGUAACAGAAUGUGUAUUGCGAUGUAACACAUCUAUAUACAACUUUCAGCAACGGAUCUCUUGGCUCUCGCAUCGAUGAAGAACGCAGCGAAAUGCGAUAAGUAAUGUGAAUUGCAGAAUUCAGUGAAUCAUCGAAUCUUUGAACGCACCUUGCGCUCCUUGGUAUUCCGAGGAGCAUGCCUGUUUGAGUGUCAUGAAAUCUUCAACCUACAAGCUUUUGUGGUUUGUAGGCUUGGACUUGGAGGCUUGUCGGCCGUUAUCGGUCGGCUCCUCUUAAAUGCAUUAGCUUGGUUCCUUGCGGAUCGGCUCUCGGUGUGAUAAUGUCUACGCCGUGACCGUGAAGCGUUUGGCGAGCUUCUAACCGUCUUAUAAGACAGCUUUAUGACCUCUGACCUCAAAUCAGGUAGGACUACCCGCUGAACUUAAGCAUAUCAAUAAGCGGAGGA
rnacentral:rRNA from 1 species